rnacentral:rRNA from 1 species
AACGAACGCUGGCGGCAUGCCUAACACAUGCAAGUCGAACGAUGGUCUUCGGAUCAUAGUGGCGCACGGGUGCGUAACGCGUGGGAAUCUGCCCUUGGGUUCGGAAUAACAGUUGGAAACGACUGCUAAUACCGGAUGAUGUCGAUAAGACCAAAGAUUUAUCGCCCGAGGAUGAGCCCGCGUCGGAUUAGCUAGUUGGUGGGGUAAAGGCCUACCAAGGCGACGAUCCGUAGCUGGUCUGAGAGGAUGAUCAGCCACACUGGGACUGAGACACGGCCCAGACUCCUACGGGAGGCAGCAGUGGGGAAUAUUGGACAAUGGGCGCAAGCCUGAUCCAGCAAUGCCGCGUGAGUGAUGAAGGCCUUAGGGUUGUAAAGCUCUUUUACCCGGGAAGAUAAUGACUGUACCGGGAGAAUAGGCCCCGGCUAACUCCGUG